AAGCGGGGGUGCGCCAAGCGCGCUGAGAGAGUCCCUUUGAACCUGAUAUGGUUAGUGCCAUCGUAGGGAAUGCUUGUU
rnacentral:ncRNA from 1 species